rnacentral:misc_RNA from 1 species
GAACUGCGAUAAGUAAUGUGAAUUGCAGAAUUCAGUGAAUCAUCGAGUCUUUGAACGCACAUUGCGCCCCCUGGCAUUCCGGGGGGCAUGCCUGUCCGAGCGUCAUUGCUGCCCUCAAGCCCGGCUUGUGUGUUGGGUCGUCGUCCCCCCCGGGGGACGGGCCCGAAAGGCAGCGGCGGCACCGUGUCCGGUCCUCGAGCGUAUGGGGCUUUGUCACCCGCUCGAUUAGGGCCGGCCCGGCGCCAGCCGGCGUCUCCAACCUUAUUUUUCUCAGGUUGACCUCGGAUCAGGUAGGGAUACCCGCUGAACUUAAGC